rnacentral:tRNA from 1 species
GCCUUGCUAGCUCAAUCGGUAGAGUGUGAGGCUUUUAAUCUCAAGGUUGCGGGUUCGACCCCCGCGUGGGGCU